AUGAUCCGUGCCCUGGACGUGGGCGGGGUGACGGUGCUCGGCCACGCUGGGAACGCGGAGGCGCUGCUCUCCUUCUACUCCGAGCUGCUGGGGAGGGCACGGCCCUUCGUCUGGCGGUUUGACCUGGCCAGCCUGUACCGCGACGCCGCGCGGGUCGACGCGGCUGCCCUGGUGGCUACGUUCUCGCCUGACGAAAUCAAGGAUGCGGCCGGGCUUCUCGAUCGGUCCAGCGUGCCUGGGCCGGACGGCCUCGGCCCCGCGUUCUACCACGCCGCCUGGGAUACCGUCUCCGGGGACCUGCACCGCCUCUUCGCCGCGGUCCACGACGGGACCGCGAACCUCGACGCCAUCAACCGGGCGUACAUCGCGCUUCUGCCCAAAGGCGUGGGUGUGCCCACGCCUGGCGCCUUCCGGCCCGUCUCCCUUCAAAACGGGGACGUCAAGAUCCUGUGCCGCGGGAUCACCUCGCGGCUGCAACAGCAGAUCGGGGGCAUCAUCGACGUCGACCAGUCCGGGUUCCUGGCGGGGAGAAGCAUCUUCGAAAAUUUUGUGUUCGCCGCCGAGGUGAUCCAGUGCUGCCACAAGCGCACAGCCCCCGCCCUCGUCUUCAAGCUCGACUUCGCCAAGGCUUUCGACUCGGUCGACUAGGGGGCGCUCCGGCGUAUCCUAGAGGUGCGCGGCUUCCCCGACAGGUGGUGCGCAUGGAUGGACUUGAUCUUCCGGUCCUCCCGGUCGGCGGUUCUCCUCGGUGUUCCGGGGAAGUGGUUUACGGUGCGCCGCGGGCUACGCCAGGGAGACCCGAGCUCGCCCUACCUCUUCCUCUUCGUCGCCGACGUCCUCCAACAGAUGAUC
rnacentral:rRNA from 1 species